CUGCAAGUCGAGCGCAGGAAGCAAGCUGAUCCCCUUCGGGGGUGACGCUUGUGGAAUGAGCGGCGGACGGGUGAGUAACACGUGGGCAACCUGCCUGUAAGACUGGGAUAACCCCGGGAAACCGGGGCUAAUACCGGAUAAUACUUUCUUUUGCAUAAAGGAAAGUUGAAAGGCGGCUUCGGCUGUCACUUACAGAUGGGCCCGCGGCGCAUUAGCUAGUUGGUGAGGUAACGGCUCACCAAGGCGACGAUGCGUAGCCGACCUGAGAGGGUGAUCGGCCACACUGGGACUGAGACACGGCCCAGACUCCUACGGGAGGCAGCAGUAGGGAAUCUUCCGCAAUGGACGAAAGUCUGACGGAGCAACGCCGCGUGAGUGAUGAAGGUUUUCGGAUCGUAAAACUCUGUUGUUAGGGAAGAACAAGUUGGGUAGUAACUGACCCAACCUUGACGGUACCUAACCAGAAAGCCACGGCUAACUACGUGCCAGCAGCCGCGGUAAUACGUAGGUGGCAAGCGUUGUCCGGAAUUAUUGGGCGUAAAGCGCUCGCAGGCGGUCCUUUAAGUCUGAUGUGAAAUCUCGCGGCUCAACCGCGAACGGUCAUUGGAAACUGGAGGACUUGAGUACAGAAGAGGAGAGUGGAAUUCCACGUGUAGCGGUGAAAUGCGUAGAGAUGUGGAGGAACACCAGUGGCGAAGGCGACUCUCUGGUCUGUAACUGACGCUGAGGAGCGAAAGCGUGGGGAGCGAACAGGAUUAGAUACCCUGGUAGUCCACGCCGUAAACGAUGAGUGCUAGGUG
rnacentral:rRNA from 1 species